CUACGGGACGCUGCAGUGGGGAAUAUUGCACAAUGGGCGAAAGCCUGAUGCAGCGACGCCGCGUGAAGGAAGAAGGUCUUCGGAUUGUAAACUUCUAUCAGCAGGGAAGAAUAAAUGACGGUACCUGACUAAGAAGCUCCGGCUAACUACGUGCCAGCAGCCGCGGUAAUACGUAGGGAGCGAGCGUUAUCCGGAUUUACUGGGUGUAAAGGGUGCGUAGGCGGUUUGUUAAGUCAGAAGUGAAAUUUAGGGGCUCAACCUCUAAGCUGCUUCUGAAACUGAUGAACUAGAGUGUGGGAGAGGAAAGUGGAAUUCCGAGUGUAGCGGUGAAAUGCGUAGAGAUUCGGAGGAACACCAGUAGCGAAGGCGGCUUUCUGGACCAUAACUGACGCUGAGGCACGAAAGCGUGGGGAGCGAACAGGAUUAGAUACCCGGGUAGUC
rnacentral:rRNA from 1 species